AAAUGAAGGAAUGUAUCUUUUUGAAGAGA
rnacentral:piRNA from 1 species